GCAAAACAGACUCACACAACACUAUUCAAAAUGAACCACAUAAUCGAUAACAAAUAUUCGGAACUGCUAACUCAUGAACAAAAUAAACAGCUGUAACAACAAUGAAAAUGUAAACAACAAAGAUCGGGCCCCGGUUCCGGACCCAGCGUACCCGCCCUACCAUGAGACGAUCACCUGCACUCGUCUCCCUCAUUUUGGCCACUAGAUGGCCUGCAUUAGCCCGUGUCGGCCAUCAUGCCCACUCUCCCCAACAAUAUGAAUUUAGCCGGACAUUCUUUUCUUUCAAUAUGUGCGUAUAAUUGGUUGCGUUUUCUUAAAAUUUAUAACAAUUAAUAUCAUCGCUUACGGCAUUUAUCUUAGCAGCUAUUUACAAUCUCAUGCAAGUGGAUAAUUUCGUUAACUUCGCAGGUGCGUAUAAUUGUUUGUGUAUUCUUAUAAUUAUUGGCAGUUAAUAUUUCUUUUAUUUCUUUAUAAUUUGCAAUUUAUUACUUUCCAUUCAGCUAUUUAUUACUUCAUGCCAGCUGACUUUUCAUACACUUCAACAAAGUACAUUAGUUAACAAUAUUGGACAGAACAUGCGAUGAAAAUACGGCCAGAGGUCAUGGCUAAUCGCCGCCAAAAAAAAAAACAAGAAAGCAAUUAUAAGGCAAUCGUUGCACCGAUUCAGGAACAGUGUACCCACGCAAAUACUUAUAACACGAAAAUCAGUCGUGCAGCAGGGGGUGGUAAGGGGCAAUAGAAAGGGGUAAUUCAAGUUAGUUAUGUAUUUGGGUAUUGUUCGCGCAACUUCAACAUUUUAAGUUUUAUAUUUUAUAGGCGCAUAUGCAUAACCUUUGGAGUUUUUUCCUCACUGUUCGGACUCUCAAGUGAACUUGGCGUGUCUCGAGCAAGAGUCUGACUCUGCCGGCUGUUCGGUGCGAGGAAGGACGACUUAGAACGGACUCACUCAGAUGAUGUGGGCGUGGUCUCGCCGGUGGCCGCUUCUUCGCUGUUGGAGCCCCGUCUUGGGCGUCUCGUCUUGCCGUCUUGAGGGUGGCGCCGAGGCUCGGCCGCGCUCAGGUGCCCUCCGGCGUGACUCCUUGGCUGGCACUUCGAUGCUUAUUAUUUUUAUUUUAUUUUCAUUUUGUUAUCUUCGUCGAAUAAAAUGAGCGUAUAUUUUUAUUGGCGCA